AUCUGCUCACUAUUAUUCACUAACUCGGAUUGACUCGCCUCCACACUCCGAAUCAAAGAUGAAUCCUUUUUGUGUUUCCGUCUAUCGGAUUUUGAGUGAAGCCGUGACAGCUCAUCGAAAGCGGCGGUGGCGCGACGAAGGUAAGCGUUUAAGGCCUGGGAAGCGCCGUUCUCAGAGGAUACGAACUUGGAGAGUAUAGAAGCCGCUUUGGAGAUUGACACCGGUGUUGAAUCUGUGAUUUUGCCGGUCACCGUCUUCAUCUUUUUAGGGUUUUAAGGAUUUGCUAAAACCCUGCUUGUUCGUUAAUGCUGUAUAUAAUGAGGAGCGGUCCGCUUCAGCUGUUUGUGUUGGGCUCCAGCUUGGUUAUUGGGCCAUACAGCUAUUCGAGGCCCGUAAAUCGGAGGCCCAGAACAAAUUGUCCAUGCCCGUAUAUUCAUGUUCUCUGUGUGGAGUUGCUAGGCAGAUGGACUUGUUUUCUCUGUUUUGAUUUUUUAAUUUUUUAAUAUAUUUUUAUAUUCUAAUUAUUAUUUUCCAACUCAUUUACCAAUAUUUUUACCUUUAAAUUACGAUAAUUAACACCAUUAUUGAAGAAAACUUAGCUUCCAUAUACCACAAUUCAUAUGUUUUUUUACAGAUUUUUUAUUGUCCAAAAUAAACACAUUGCUGAUAAAAUUUAAACAUUUAGCUACAGAAAACAAUUCUACAAAUGACUGUUAUAUUAAUUAUUAUUAAUUUACUUCAAUAUCUCACACGACAUACAAAUCUAAAAACGACCCGCCGUAUUAUAUUCUAUGAGAACUGUUUUGAAAGAAACAGUCGUGUCAUAUAACAACAUACUGAAUUUGUGGAGGAAAAAAAACAUAGUUUUACGGAUUAAUUUUGAAAAUCUAGAAUCUAAAACAAUUCAUUUUUAGUUUUAUUUUUAAUUGAAUCACAUAAUAUAUUAACAAAUAUUUAACGAUAAUAACUUUUUUUUUCAUUAAUUCUCUGAAUAAUAAGUGUUUAUUUAAUAUUAUAGGAACGGUUGUUUUUUAAAGUAUUUUUCACUUGAAAAUUUAUCAAAAUAAUAUUUUUUAAUUGUUUUAUAUUAAUACAUUAAAACAAUUUAAAAACACAAAAAUAUUAAAUUUAAAAUAAAAAAAUAUUAAAUUUUAAUUUUUUUUAAAGCUUUUUUUUUUUUUUGAUUUACGUGGGGUGUCCGGGCCAGCUUACGCGCACCACGACUAUUCCCCACGGCCCACUGAACAUCCUGCAAGCCCAGGAGCAAGUAAGGCACCGCGGGGGUGACAGGCGUGCACAUAGAGGGUCGAACCCGGGACAGGGGCGGAACAAGUCACACGGUUGACCACAGCAGCUAGACCCUCAAGUACUUUUUUAAAGCAUUUUUACUCUGAAAAACAAACGCAUCAUGAAUCACAGCUAUGAACAAAAGAGACACAAUUCGUUUAAAUCCUUGUGGUGGGCUCUUACUCGGCCAUUAAAUGGGAUUUGGUAUCCCAUCACGAAACAGGUAAUCCUUGAAUGCCCAAACAGAUCUCUUGGCAAUUUAUAUUUAUCAAUUUCAGAGCAAGAUUGUUCACCAAAAAUCCUACUGCCCGUCCUUUGUAAAACAGUAAAGAAAUAUUUUAUUUUCUUUAGGUUCAUUUUCCAAUUUUAAAUAAAAACAAAAUUUGCACAAACAUUUCUUACCUUUUUAUAAAACACUAAAAAAUUAAACUUGAUUUUACCUAUUUUCUUGGCAUUAUGAUUUCCAUUAAAAAAAAAUCAAAGUUAUCAAUUCAAUAAAUUCUUAGUGUGACAGAAAUCCUACGGACUCGUAUUGAACAAUCCGCUCGAACCAAAUUAGAUACAAACGUCCGAUAUUUUAGUUAUAUCAACCUGCAUAGUUCUUAUAGUUGUAUCUAUUUCACAUCAGCAUUGAAAAUCUUUACAUUGAUUAGGGUAUCUUGUCAUUGCUCUUUUAUAUAUAUAUAUAUAUAUAUAUAUAUAUAUAUACUAUGAAAAUUCAUUAGUUACGGAAAAAAAAAGUUAUUAUCAUAUAAUAGGUUUUCAAAACCAAAACUUCUAAUUUUUUAAUGUUGUGUUUAAUUAGUGUCGACAAAAACAUAUUUGAUUGGAGAUAUAUACAUAAACAUAAAAUAAAUUUGUUCUAUUAAUGGAUUUAAAUAAAAUGAACCUGAAAAAUCCUUCAAAAUAGGCCUAGAGAAAUCCUCUAAAUAAAAGGAAACAAAACUCAAAAAACAUCAAAUAAGCAUGGGCUCGAGCAUGGUAGCCCCAACCCAUGGACCAAGAACAUGGCCUCAGGCAAAUAGCCUCAGCCCAUGCUCCCUGCUUAGGCUCAUGGGCAUACACUUGGCUGGUUAUGGGCAUGCAUCCCAGCGCCCUCAUGAGCUCGGGUUGUCACCCUUAAGCCCAACAUGCUUGGAUCUAGAAAGCACCACAAUCAUUGGUCGUAUCAAACGCCUGUAGAUAAAUACAUUACUCAAGGGAGACUAAAUAUAAUGACAAUCUUGGGAGUUCUUUAUGGGGUUGCUCGUGCUAUUGCGAUACUCAUGUACAGAACCUUUACUCUGAAUAUUUUCCACAUAGCUACCGUGAGAUGGACACCAAUUACCAUAAUCAUUGUUCCAUAUCAAACUCAUCGGACUCCCAAGAUUCUAAUAGAUAAAUAACUAAGAGAAAAUAUAUACAUGAGUUUACCCAAGAGAAUGACUAAAACCCCUAUCAGUGGAGAAGUUCUCCCUUAUCCAAAAGAGUAUUGAAUAAUUGACUCUUUAAAGACUAUAUUUCCACAAAAAUGAGUCUGGAUAACAACGAUGGCCUUGCUGACCUAAGGGAGCAAGUAGCCCGAGCCCAUGAUCCCUGCAUGGGCACAUGAGUGCCUAGUGCAUAGAUGUACACCCAGUGUAUACCAUGCAAGGCAUACGCAUGAGUCUAGGCAACACGCUUAAACCCACUUUCACUUCUAAUGGGAUCAGGUUGUUACGCUCGAGCUCAACAUGUUUGGGUCCAAGCAACACGCCUAGACUCAUUUUCACCUCUAAUAGGCUCAGAUGCCUUGCUCAAGCCCAACACUUGCCAAAUAAUUUUUCUUGGGGCCCCACGUGAGUCUCUCGGUAUUUUAUACUGAUCCAAUACAUAUUAUUUUGAUUAGAAUACAACUCAAAAUAUCAUAAGGGUGAAAUUAUAUUCUAGUCUCUCCUCUCCACAAAAAGAUAAGAUUUAUGGCCUAUAAAUACACCAUGAAUAAUUCAAAUUAAAUGUUCACAAUCUCUUUAUUCUUAAUAUUUUUAACAUAUAUAUUUUCAGAGUCUAUUUUUCUAAAAUAUCAUUGCACUUUCUCUCUCUACAAAGUUAUUGACUUUACCAUUGAAGAAUCUCUACAUCCAUCAAAUGAGAUAUUUUAUAAGUACCAGCUACCUUUACCCGGCUUACUAGGCACUACCAUAGUUAUUGGUAAUCUGCCUUACCAUUCGUCACCUGUUAUCACUUACUAACCCUCUAGGUUUUUUAUAUCAAGUCACCAGAUACUUUGACAAUAAAUAAUGAAUCAGAUAACUUGAAUUAAGAGAUCAACCAAUUAUUUAACAGGUGAGUUUUAUUUUUAAACAUCUUAAAUUUUAAAACUCGUCAAAAAUAAAUUUAUAUCUUUUUAAAAUAAAAGGUAUAAGAGAAGAUGUCCCCUUUAUUAUCUUUACUCAUCUUCUUUUUUCAAGACGGUAACCAUCUCUAUAAUUACAUGUGGUUGGGCUCAUUGAUUUCGGUGUAAAUUCAAGCCACGACUAACUUCCAUUACCUCAUAGAGAUUCGUUUGGGCCAACUUGAAACCUGUAGCCUCUAGUCUUGUGGCCUAGGAAAAGAAAAGAAAAGAAAAAAAUAUUAAUCAUGGACCCAUUUUGCUAAGACUUUGUCAAGUAGGAAUAUUUAUACUUUGUUUUAUUCUAGACAAACUAGCUUAGUUUAAAUUAAACAAUGAAAAUUCAUUUUAGUGAUUGUAAUAUAACAUGAUAAUGAUGAAAAACAAGGGUCAAGAAAGCAAGCUAAGAUCGACGGAACUUUCUUCAAAUGAGAUAGUGACUUAAUUUUAAUUGAUAAAUGUAUGUAUCCAACAAGAAUACAAACAAUUUCCAAACAUUUAUCAAAUAAUUUACCGACAAAACAAGAGCAUCAUCCCACUCUUUCCGCUAAUCUUGUCAUGAAAUAUGGAAGGAGAAGAGGCAAUUUUGUCAAACCUCGUUAAAUAAUAUGAUUCCUACUCACCAUUAUGCGUACAAGAAGAAGAAAGAUAUUACGUGUAUGUUUUUUCCUGUUUGUUUUUGUAUUUUAAAAAUAUUUUUGAAAAAAUAUAAUUUUUUUAUUUUUUAUUUUAAAUUAAUAUUUUUUAGUGUUUUCAAAUUAUUUUGAUGCGCUGAUAUCAAAAAUAAUUUUUAAAAAAUAAAAAAUAUUAUUUUAAUAUAUUUUUGAGUAAAAAAUACUUUAAAAAACAAUCAUAACCAUAUUUUUGAACAGAUUAAGACUGAAUGAAGGUAUCUUGCCAAGAUCAUUAAGAAAAUGAAAAAAAAAAAAAAAAGAGAGAAAGAAACGAGGGGUAGGUUGCUUUGUUGGAAAAAAAUCUUGUGCCUUGAAAAUGAUUUUUGCACAUUCGAGAAACCUUUUGGAACUCUAAAGGUAGAUGUUGACCCCAUCAACGUUUGACAUUAUUUAACCACCAUAUAUUUUUAAAGACAAAAACAAAAGCAAAGAAAUAGAGUGAGUUGAUUUGAUUUUGGGCUUUUCUUUAAGCACUAAGUAAACAUUAAAAGCCUUUUGUUUUUUUAUUUAAAAAAUAUUUUUGAAAAAUUUUUGGUGUAUUUUGAGUGGGUUUUGGUGUAUUUUUAAAAAAUAUUUUUUCAUCUAGAAAUAUUUUAGAUUUUUAUUUUUAAUAUUAAUAUAUUAAAAUCAUUGAAAAAAAAACAAUUAUGAAAACGCAAUGCAAAUCAUUAAUUUUCUACGAUAAUCAUUUCUCAUAAAAAUAUAUAAAGAGCAAAGUGAUAAUUACAUAACCAUGCUCUCUCGCCUCUAUUUUGCAUUAUUAUGAAAUAAACCAUCACCUCUACCUCUUGUUCAAAUAUGAUAGUUCAUUUUGUAAUUGAAACAUGAUAUCUUGUUCAAAUAAAAUAAACACCAUAGUCUUGGUUAAUGCAAAGAAUAUGUAAUGUAAUAAAUAAAUAAAAUACUUUUAAAAAACAUCCUAACAUCUGCACAAAAAUACUACCUCUAGAUCAUCGCAUAAGUGCCAUUGGAGUUGCCGAUAAAACCUCAAGUAAAUCGAUAUAAUCACAAUCAAGCAGUCAGUCUCAAAUCGCCUCGAGGAGCCUUGGUGGAUUUUAUAAAAUCAGGCAAUCGGACCAGCUUGCUGCAGUGGAUAAUGUUUUUUGUUCUAAUCUGUAAAUUGGAGCCUUCGAAUCAGCAGCUCAGCACAACUGCAUUUCAAUUAUUGAAAUCUUACAAGCCACAAGGACAUAGUAAAGUAAUCCAUUCAAUUCAUCGUUUGAAGCAAGGUUAUCAAAUAUAUUUUGUUAGGUGUUUUAUUUUUUUAAAUUAGAAUGAAAUAUUUUAGUUCAAGAGUAUUUAAACAUGUCGUUUCAAGGUUGUAAUAUAUAUAUAUUUAAUAAACAUAAUUCAAAUUUAAUAUAAAUUAAUUAUAAAAUAUGCAAUACAAAUAUAAUGUUAAACAAAUAUAAUUUUAAAUUUUAAAAUAUUUAUAAAUAGUUAAGAUUAAAUAGAUCUUUAACUUAAAGUAAUUUAACUUAAACAAAAUAUUAUAAAAGUAAAAUGUUUUAACAUAAAUAUUUUAAAUAUAAAGUUAAGUCAAUGUUAUAAAGGCUAAUAGGAUCUAAAGCAUCCCUUGUUUUGCUCAAAUUCCUACAAAGUAUAAACUUGAAAAAAAACAACAUGAAUAUAAACCAUAUAUAUUAGUAAUAAAUCUAAUUUUAAAAAAUUAAUAUUAUUAUUAAUUAAAAUAGUAAUAAUAAUUUUUAAUAUUAUUAUUAAUAUCAUUGUUAUUGAAAAUAGUAAUGAAAAAGAGCUUUUUAUACUUGGAUAGUUUAAUUAAUUAAAUUGAACCAGGUUCAGUUUGAUUCAAUAGUUUUUCAAGAUUGGAACGGAACAUGUGGAAUAAAACCGGAACAUUUUGACCAAAAUUUAACUAAAAAAUACGGAACGGAUCGAGAUUUGAAAUGAGAUGAAAAUUAUUCUAUUUUAUUUAUUUUUAUAAAUUAGUAUAAAAUAUUUCUGCGGUCGAAAUGAUAUGAAAUUGACAACAUGGUUUGAAGACAACAAAAUGUGGACUUUCAUAAAAACAGCCUUCAUUGCUUCAUCACUUUUAAAACAUACCAACGUAUCCAAACACAAGAAUCGCAAAACCAUUGCAAUACCUUGAAGGCAUAACUCAACAUACCCCAGGCAAGUCCCCUUCAUGAUUCAAACCCUGAUUUCUCCCCAUAUUGCCAAACCAAUGUCGUUGCUGCAAUCCUGUUGAGCAGAACGCUCACUAUCAAUAUCCUUAUUACCAGCAAAACACCAUUGAAACAAAGUUGUGCAGAAUUUUACUUUGUUUUCCAGAACGCACUAAACUUCAGUUUUUUCUCCUCAUUUUGUCCCAGCAACUAAACAUAAAUCAAGCAAAUGAAGGCUAAUGCAUCUAGUAGUUAGCUAAAUUAUUCAAUUUCCUUAUAACGAUAAUCCAAUAUAAUCAACUCAAAACUUAACAAAAGAAUAAUAAGUCUUAAGUUAGAUUGCCAGAAAAAUCCAAAAGCAGAGCAAGAAUAAUCAUAAGAACGCAGGAACAGAGCCACGAGAACUGGUUUGUUUUGAAAAAUAAGGAGGAAAGCUCACCACUCAACUAGACAGGAAACGUGUACAGCCCAUGCAGGCAAAGACAGCACAUUGGCAGGUUCACUGAGUUGACCAGCCAAGUGUAAGUUAGCAGCCACUGCUGUCAGGGUCAGGCCAAACCUGCCCAAGAAGACCCGCAGCACCGAACCUAGCUAGUUUUAGAAUUAUAUAGAGUCUGCUUUUAACAAACUGUAUGAUGAUCAGCAGUCAGCAUUCUGGUUUCUGCUUUACAAAUAACAACUACUGCGACCAAAAUUUCUCAAGCAAUCUAUAAAGUUCAAAGAACAAAACAAUCUAAGCUGAAUAUGUAAAUUUCAAAGCACAUAAACAUAUUUCAAAAACAGUAAAUUUCAUCCCCAACAACAAUUGAAAUACCCAAUUAUCCGAUUACAAGAAGUAACCUCCUUUUUCACUCAAUUAUCAUCCACUUGUUUCCUCCUCCUCUUCUUCCUUUGGCCCUCCUCCUCCAAUCCAUCCUUCUCUUCCUCCUCCCUCUCCUCCUUUACCUCUACCUCUCCACUCUUCCUCUUCCUCUUCCUCUUCUUCUUUUCCUCUUCUUCUCUAAUUUCAAUUUUGUCCACCACACUCCCAUUCUCCUCAACCUCUGCCUUUUCCUUCUUUAUCCCAUUGCUCUUCUCAGUUUGCUCUGCCAAAUCACCCUUCCUCUUCCUCUUCUUUUCCUUCUUACUCCCUAUCUCCUCAUCUCCCACACUACCCUCUUCCUUAACCUCCUUCUUCACCAUCUGCUCACUAUUAUUCACUAACUCGGAUUGACUCGCCUCCACACUCCGAAUCAAAGAUGAAUCCUUUUUGUGUUUCCGUCGAUCGGAUUUUGAGUGAAGCCGUGACAGCUCAUCGAAAGCGGCGGUGGCGCGACGAAGGUAAGCGUUUAAGGCCUGGGAAGCGCCGUUCUCAGAGGAUACGAACUUGGAGAGUAUAGAAGCCGCUUUGGAGAUUGACACCGGUGUUGAAUCUGUGAUUUUGCCGGUCACCGUCUUCAUCUUUUUAGGG
rnacentral:lncRNA from 1 species